rnacentral:rRNA from 1 species
UACGUAGAAGACUAGUGUUAUUCAUCUUUAGUAGGUUUAAAGGGUACGUAGACGGUAAAUUUAAUCUUUUGGAUAUGUUUUUACUAGAGUUAUAUAUGAGGAGGGGAGUAUUUAUGGAGUAGAGUUGAAAUUUGUUGAUACCAUAACGACUGGUAACGGCGAAAGCAACCUUUUAUGUAAUAACUGACGUUGAGGGACGAAGGCUCGGGUAGCGAACAGG